rnacentral:rRNA from 1 species
CAGCACCUCAAGUGGUCAGGAUGAUUAUUGGGCCUAAAGCAUCCGUAGCCGGCGCUGUAAGUUUUCGGUUAAAUCUGUACGCUCAACGUACAGGCUGCCGGGAAUACUGCAGCGCUAGGGAGUGGGAGAGGUAGACGGUACUCGGUAGGAAGGGGUAAAAUCCUUUGAUCUCUUGAUGACCACCUGUGGCGAAGGCGGUCUACCAGAACACGUCCGACGGUGAGGGAUGAAAGCUGGGGGAGCAAACCGGAUUAGAUACCCGAGUAGUCC